CAACCCUCGGCUAACACCGGUUUUGAGCAAGCGAGGUCUCCGGACCCGGCUGGCUUUAAAGUUGUAAGCUCUGCUGGCUGCCCGGCCCAACCAGAACAUAGUAAAACAACUCUUGUUCACGGUUCGCGGUCGAAGCGGUACGGCCUGAACAAUACCUACCACCUCUCAG
rnacentral:misc_RNA from 1 species